rnacentral:pre_miRNA from 9 species
UCUCGAUAGUGUAAAAGUUAACUCAAAUUUGUAUACACUUGAAACGUUUGCCUACGUUUGCCGCUAGGGGCGCUGUGCCUACAUACAAAUUUGUGUUAACUUUUACGCUAUCGA